GUAGGGAAUAUUGGGCAAUGGACGAGAGUCUGACCCAGCCAUGCCGCGUGCAGGAAGAAGGCGUUCUGCGUUGUAAACUGCUUUUAUCUGGGAAGAAAAGGCCCAUGCGUGGGACAUUGCCGGUACCAGAUGAAUAAGCACCGGCUAACUCCGUGCCAGCAGCCGCGGUAAUACGGAGGGUGCAAGCGUUGUCCGGAUUUAUUGGGUUUAAAGGGUGCGUAGGCGGUUGAUUAAGUCAGCGGUGAAAGUUUUGGGCUCAACCCAGAAAUUGCCAUUGAUACUGGUCGACUUGAGUAUUGCAGGGGUACAUGGAAUUGAUGGUGUAGCGGUGAAAUGCAUAGAUACCAUCAGGAACACCGAUAGCGAAGGCAUUGUACUGGGCAACCACUGACGCUGAUGCACGAAAGCAUGGGGAGCGAACAGGAUUAGAUACCCUAGUAGUCC
rnacentral:rRNA from 1 species